UCUCUGUCCAAGCUACCAAGGGUCAACGGUGGAUGCCUUGGCGCCAGGAGCCGAUGAAGGACGUGGCAGGCUGCGAUAAGCCCCGGCGAGCUGUCAAGCAAGCUUCGACCCGGGGAUGUCCGAAUGGGGAAACCCGGCUGGGGUCAUGCCCAGUCACUCCGGUCUGAACACAUAGGACCGGUAGAGGGAACCGGCGGAACUGAAACAUCUAAGUACUCCGAGGAAGAGAAAGCAACAGCGAUUCCCUGAGUAGCGGCGAGCGAAACGGGAUCAGCCCAAACCUCUGCAGUGCAAUAGCCCGACGGCGUUGCUGCGGGGGGGUUGUGGGACCUGCUGGACGGUGCGUCGGCGCCGUCACAGAGUUACAAAGGCGAAGAUCAGCCGAACCCGGAUGGAAAGCCGGGCCGUAGAAGGUAACAGCCCUGUAGGCGAAGGCCUUCGCUCUCUGAGCGGUGUUCCCAAGUAUCACGGAGGAUAUUCCGUGUGAAUCUGCGAGAACCACCUCGUAAGGCUAAACACUUCCUGGCGACCGAUAGUGAACUAGUACCGUGAGGGAAAGGUGAAAAGCACCCCGGUGAGGGGAGUGAAAUAGUACCUGAAACCGUUGACCUACAAGCAGUGGGAGGAGUUCUCUUUUGAGAGCUCUGACCGCCUGCCUUUUGAAGAAUGAGCCGGCGAGUUAGCGGUAUGUGGCGAGGUUAAGGUAGUUGUACCGGAGCCGAAGCGAAAGCGAGUCUGAACAGGGCGAUUCAGUCGCAUGCCCUAGACCCGAAUCCGGGCGAUCUAUCCAUGGGCAGGGUGAAGCGAAGGUAAGACUUCGUGGAGGCCCGAACCCACCAAGGUUGAAAACUUGGGGGAUGACCUGUGGAUAGGGGUGAAAGGCCAAUCAAGCCCGGUGAUAGCUGGUUCUCCCCGAAAUAGCUUUAGGGCUAGCGUUGCGCGUUUCGCAAUGGGGGUAGAGCACUGAUUGAACUAGGGGGCCCACAAGCCUACCAACUUCAGUCAAACUCCGAAUCUCAUUGCGUUAGAGCGUGGCAGUCAGUCUACGUGGGAUGAGCUUCGUGGACGCAAGGGAAACAGCCCAGAUCGCCAGCUAAGGUCCCUAAGUCUGAGCUAAGUGGGAAACGAUGUGGAGUUGCACAAACAGCCAGGAGGUUGGCUUAGAAGCAGCCAUCCUUUAAAGAAUGCGUAACAGCUCACUGGUCGAGUGGCGCUGCGCGGAAAAUGUAACGGGGCUAAAGCUCAGCACCGAAGCUGCGAGAUUCCGUCCGUUGGGACGGGAUCGGUAGGGGAGCGUCGUGUCGACAUAGAAGCGUCGCCGUGAGGAGGCGUGGAGACGGCACGAGUGAGAAUGCCGGUAUGAGUAGCGAAAGAAGAGUGAGAAUCUCUUCCGCCGAAUGUCCAAGGGUUCCUGGGGAAGGUUCGUCCGCCCAGGGUUAGUCGGGACCUAAGGCGAGGCCGCAAGGCGUAGUCGAUGGACAACGGGUUGAUAUUCCCGUACCGCUCUGUGCGCGCCCGACCAAGACCGGUCAUGCUAAGACCGCAUCUUCGGAUGGGGUCGAACCAGACCGGAGGAGGUCAGCAACGGGGUGACGUGGAAGGGUAAGCGGACCCGGGCGUUGGUUGUUCCCGGGGUAAACGUGUAGGGUGCGGCCCAGGUAAAUCCGGGCCGCUCAAAAGCCCGAGGCGUGAUGCCGAUCCGCCUUAAGGAGAAGCCGCUGAACGCCCAUGCCACCGAGAAAAACCUCUAGCGAGUGCACAGUGCGCCCGUACCCCAAACCGACACAGGUGGACAGGUAGAGAAUACCAAGGCGAGCGAG
rnacentral:rRNA from 1 species